rnacentral:rRNA from 1 species
AACACGUGGGCAACCUGCCUGUAAGACUGGGAUAACUCCGGGAAACCGGAGCUAAUACCGGAUAGUAUCAUGAAACGCAUGGCUCCUGUUGGAAAGACGGUUUCGGCUGACACUUACAGAUGGGCCCGCGGCGCAUUAGCUAGUUGGUGAGGUAAUGGCUCACCAAGGCAACGAUGCGUAGCCGACCUGAGAGGGUGAUCGGCCACACUGGGACUGAGACACGGCCCAGACUCCUACGGGAGGCAGCAGUAGGGAAUCUUCCGCAAUGGACGAAAGUCUGACCGAGCAACGCCGCGUGAGCGAUGAAGGUCUUCGGAUCGUAAAACUCUGUUGUUAGAGAAGAACAAGUGCGAGAGUAACUGCUCGCACCUUGACGGUACCUAACCAGAAAGCCACGGCUAACUACGUGCCAGCAGCCGCGGUAAUACGUAGGUGGCAAGCGUUGUCCGGAAUUAUUGGGCGUAAAGCGCGCGCAGGCGGUCUCUUAAGUCUGAUGUGAAAGCCCCCGGCUCAACCGGGGAGGGUCAUUGGAAACUGGGAAACUUGAGUGCAGAAGAGGAGAGUGGAAUUCCACGUGUAGCGGUGAAAUGCGUAGAGAUGUGGAGGAACACCAGUGGCGAAGGCGACUCUCUGGUCUGUAACUGACGCUGAGGCGCGAAAGCGUGGGGAGCAAACAGGAUUAGAUACCCUGGUAGUCCACGCCGUAAACGAUGAGUGCUAAGUGUUAGAGGGUUUCCGCCUUAGAGUGGAGGAGAUAACGCAUAGCGCUCUCCGCGGGAGAGUGCGGUCGCGAGAGUGAAACUCAAAGGAAGUGGGGGGGGCGCGCAGCAGCGGGGGAGCAUGUGGUAUAAUUAGAAGCAGCGGGAGCACCUUCACAUGUCGAGAUAUCUUGUGCCAUUUAGAGAGAGAGAAGUUUCCCUUUGGGGGGAAAAAUUGACAGGGGGCGCAGGGGUGUUGUCAGCUUGUGUCGAGAGAUGGGGGGAAAAGUCGCGCAGAGAGCGCACCCCGUGAUUAGAGUCGACCGCACUCAGGGGCGCUCUAUAAGGUGACUGGCGGAGACAAACGGGAGGGAGGUGGGGAAGAUGUAAAAUCAUCACGCCCCAUAUCACGGGGGACACACGCGUGACACAAGGGAAGGCACAGAGGGGUGAGAGACCGAGAGCAAUAGCCUAUAAACCCAUUCACAGUUGGGAGUGCAGGGCGCAUCUCGCACGCAAAAGAAUCGUAUAGUAAUCGGGGAUCAUGCGCGCGGAGAUAUAUGUUCCGGGCCUGUGCACACACCGCCGUGUCACACCGGGAGAGUUUGCCACACCGAGAGUGGGUGGGUAACCGCAAGGAGCCGCGUAAGGUGGGCAGAGGGG